AAUAUUGGACAAUGGGCGAAAGCCUGAUCCAGCCAUGCCGCGUGUGUGAAGAAGGUCUUCGGAUUGUAAAGCACUUUAAGUUGGGAGGAAGGGCAGUAAGUUAAUACCUUGCUGUUUUGACGUUACCGACAGAAUAAGCACCGGCUAACUUCGUGCCAGCAGCCGCGGUAAUACGAAGAGUGCAAGCGUUAAUCGGAAUUACUGGGCAUAAAGCUCACGUAGGUGGUUGAUUAAGUUGAAAGUGAAAGCCCCGGGCUAAACCUGGGAAUUGCUUUCAAAAUUGACGAGCUAGAGUCCGGUAGAGGGGAGGGGAAUUUCCUGUGUAGCGGUAAAAGGCGUAAAUAUAGGAAGGAACAUCAGUGGCGAAGGCGACUACCUGGACUGAUACUGACACUGAGGUGCGAAAGCGUGGGGAGCAAACAGG
rnacentral:rRNA from 1 species